UACGGAGGGGGCUAGCGUUGUCCGAAGUUACUGGGCGUAAAGCGCGCGUAGGCGGGUUGGUAAGUCCGCUGUGAAAGCCCGGAGCUUAACUCCGGAGGGUCGGUGGAUACUGCCAGUCUUGAAGGUGCUAGGGGGAGAUGGAAUUACCGGUGUAGCGGUGAAAUGCGUAGAUAUCGGUAGGAACACCAGUGGCGAAGGCGGCAUCCUGGACCGACACUGACGCUGAGGAGCGAAAGCCAGGGGAGCAAACGGG
rnacentral:rRNA from 1 species